UACCCUUCUCGGCCUUUUGGCUAAGAUCAAAGUGUAGUAUCUGUUCUUAUCAGCUUAAUCUCUGGUAGGUCAGUAUUGGUAAUAGUUAGUGGAAGGCAGGUAAAUUGAAAAUGUAAGAUCAGAACUAACAUAU
rnacentral:snRNA from 1 species